GUGAUGGGGAUAGAUCAUUGCAAUUGUUGGUCUUCAACGAGGAAUGCCUAGUAAGCGCGAGUCAUCAGCUCGCGUUGACUACGUCCCUGCCCUUUGUACACACCGCCCGUUGCUCCUACCGAUUGAAUGGUCCGGUGAAGUGUUCGGAUCGCGGCGACGGGGGCGGUUCGCCGCCCCCGACGUCGCGAGAAGUCCAUUGCACCUUAUCAUUUAGAGGAAGGAGAAGUCGUAACAAGGUUUCCGUAGGUGAACCUGCGGAAGGAUCAUUG
rnacentral:ncRNA from 1 species